UUAGGCAUGCAAGUCGAACGCGAAAGUCCCUUCGGGGGCGAGUAGAGUGGCGCAAGGGUGAGUAAUCCAUGGACAACCUGCCCUCGGCUGGGGGAUAGCCACGGGAAACUGUGGGUAAUACCGCAUACGUCCGCUAUGUCGCAUGGCCUAGUGGAGAAAGGUGCUUCGGUGCCGGCGGAGGAGGGGUCCAUGGCGUAUCAGCUUGUUGGUGAGGUAACGGCUCACCAAGGCGAUGACGCGUAGCCGGACUGAGAGGUUGGCCGGCCACACCGGGACUGAGACACUGCCCGGACACCUACGGGUGGCUGCAGUCGAGAAUCUUCGGCAAUGCGCGAAAGCGUGACCGAGCGACGCCGCGUGCGGGAGGAAGGCCCUCGGGUUGUAAACCGCUUUUGGGGGAUAUGAAUAAGGUCGGGUAACGCCGGCUGAUGACGUCAACCCCUGAAUAAGCCCCGGCUAAGUUCGUGCCAGCAGCCGCGGUAAUACGAACGGGGCAAACGUUGUUCGGAAUCACUGGGCAUAAAGGGCGCGUAGGCGGACUCCUAAGUCGGGGUUGAAAGCCCUCGGCUCAACCGAGGAAUUGGUCCCGAUACUGGGAGUCUUGAGGACGGCCAGGGGGCUGUGCGAACGUCUGGUGGAGCGGUGAAAUGCGUAGAUAUCAGACGGAACACCGGUGGCGAAGGCGACACCCUGGGCCGUAUCUGACGCUGAGGCGCGAAAGCGUGGGGAGCAAACAGGAUUAGAUACCCUGGUAGUCCACGCUGUAAACGAUGAGCACUAGGAGGGGGAGUUCUACCGGCUUCCUCUUCGUAGCUAAUGCAAUAAGUGCUCCGCCUGGGGAGUAUACUCGCAAGAGCGAAACUCAAAGGAAUUGACGGGGGCUCACACAAGCGGUGGAGCAUGUGGUUUAAUUCGAAGCAACGCGCAGAACCUUACCAGGCCUUGACAUGUGCGAAAGCGCCGGGAA
rnacentral:rRNA from 1 species